UAGGGUGUAGCUUAGUUGGCAGAGCACUUGCCUAUCAAGCACAAAGCCCUGGGUUGAUCCCCAGCACCACAG
rnacentral:tRNA from 1 species